AACCUGGUUGAUCCUGCCAGUAGUCAUAUGCUUGUCUCAAAGACUAAGCCAUGCAUGUCUAAGUAUAAGUAUUAUACAGCGAAACUGCGAAUGGCUCAUUAAAACAGCUAUAGUUUAUUUGAUAAUCUAACUACAUGGAUACCCGUAGUAAUUCUAGAGCUAAUACAUGCUGUACACCGAACUUCAUGGGGAGGUGGUAUUUAUUAGAUAACAACCAAUAUUCCGCAGGUCUAUUGUGGUGAAUCAUAAUAACUGAUCGAAUCGUAAAGCCUUUGGCGACGAUAAAUCAUUCAAGUUUCUGCCCCAUCAGCUUUAGAUGGUAGUGUAUUGGACUACCAUGGCAUUCACGGGUAACGGAGGAUUAGGGUUCGAUUCCGGAGAGGGAGCCUGAGAAACGGCUACCACAUCUAAGGAAGGCAGCAGGCGCGUAAAUUACCCAAUCCUGACUCAGGGAGGUAGUGACAAGAAAUAGCAAGAAGUACCUUGUGUAUUUCAUUGAAAUGAACCGAAUUUACACCACUUAGUGAGGAUCAAUUGGAGGGCAAGUCUGGUGCCAGCAGCCGCGGUAAUUCCAGCUCCAAUAGC
rnacentral:rRNA from 1 species